rnacentral:ncRNA from 1 species
AGUGACCCCUGUUGCUUCACCCCUGUGAGCUCGGGUCAACGAGAUCCUGAAAAAGACAGUGGCACAGUCCACUAAGUGGGUGAAGAGAUUUGUCUGGUUGAUUCCUAUAACAAACGAGACUCUAGCCUGCUAAUUAGUACGUCAGUCCUCUGUUCCUGUGCUGGCGGCGUUUUGGCGAAACUGCUCACAUCAGCCAACUACUUUCAGGCCACAAAUUUCUCUGCGCGCGUGUGCUGCGAGCCCCUCCCAGGGUGAGUGGUGUGCAUGCGUGUGGGGGCUUGGACUGUGGUAGGGCCUCCGGGUACGGCGCAGGUGUGUAGCCUCCGGGUACGGCGCAGGUGUGUCUACUUCUUAGAGGGACAAGCAUUACGAAUGUGCAUGAAAUUGAAUAAUAAGAGCUCUGUGAUGCCCGUAAAUGAUGAUGCCAACGAGUCUGACCUUCUGGCCCGAAAGAGUUGGGCAAACUGGUCAGUCACCGUCAUGACAGGGGUCGUGGCUUGGAAUUGUUCCCCGUGAAGGAGGAAUU